rnacentral:lncRNA from 1 species
UUCUCCUUCAAUUCUCAAAAAUUGUCUUCUUCUUCAAGUUCCCAAAGCUCAUCUUCUCCUUGAUCUCAAAAAUCAUAUCUUCUCCUUCUUGUUAGGACGGAGAUUGUUAAAGAUUUUGAAUUGAACAAAAACAUUGACAUCUACUAAGAUGGCAACCAUUGAGAGUUUUGAGGUUCAAAAUUUUUAUUCUUCUUUUCCAAAGCAAUGAUGAGCUCCCAUUUAGGAUGUUAGACAUUCAAGUUCACGUGAAUUAGCACAUUUGGUAAAAAUCAACGUAAGUUUUUCGUAUUUUGACAUGUUAAAUUCACUGGAAACGGGUUUUCGCAGAACUUUAAAUAUUAUUCUAAUUUUAUCUAGAUUUGUGGACAUGGAAAAAUUUUAGUACAAAUUUCAUCCCAUGUUUAUAUGUUAUGCACUUACUAUUUUGGAUUUUCGCAAAGAAUGUCAGUUGCCAAAAAUGAAAAGAAUGGAAGGACAUUUCAUUGGGAUCCAUAAGUUUAUUUUAUUAUUUUUUUUUGAUUGAUUGUAUUGCUUCCUAAAGUUAUUUUGUGGAAAUUUGAGCUGUUGAGCUUUGAUUGUAUUACUGUUUUGGAAUUUUCUCACAAAGAAUGCCAGUUGUCAAAAAUGAAAAAAGGAAGGACAUUUCAUUGAGAUCUUUAAGUCAAUUUUAUUAUGUUUUUGAUUGAUUGUAUUGCUUGCUAAAAUUAUUUUGUGGAAAAUUGAGCUCUUGAGUAGUGGAUAAAUUGGGUUUAG